rnacentral:lncRNA from 13 species
AUGACCUUGUCCUGGUCUGUCCUUAGGCAGAUGUCUGAGGAGAGCGGCCUGACAGAGACUUUGGGUACGAUUGAACCCAGACGGUUGACUUCCCUGGUGACUGCACUCGCAAUGGCUGUUGUCAUCUCCCCGUUGCCACGGCUCAAAGCUCGCCUCAGAGCAUCAGGAGAGCCCAUGCGCUCCUCCAGCUCUCUGCAGAGGGCACUUACAAUCCUUGCACUUGAGGGGCGGGAGUACGGCGUCUUGAGAUCCUUGGUCAUUUCCAAUGCUGAGGUAACGUCUGGGGAAUCGGACAUGUCCCGAAGGACAGAAACCACCAUGUCCAUUGCCACAUCAGAGAGAGUGGUGGUUGGGGAUGACACAGAAACCACCAUGUCCAUUGCCACAUCAGAGAGAGUGGUGGUUGGGGAUGACACAGGUGAUGCAAAGUCCUCUGAGUUAAGCUCAUACCCAUGAAGCAGCUUGGUGAUCAGGUCUACAACCACCUCUGGUGUGGAAUGUAGACUGGGAGAGUCCUUGUCGGAGGUCUCAAUCAUACAGGAUUCAAUUUCACUCAAAGCCCCUCUGACCAUGAUGUUUGUCUCAGAGUCAUCGGGUACAUGGUUCUCUUUGAGGUGUUUGAUACCUGCCUCACACAGCUCUUUCACAUGGAUGUUCUCGGAAGACAUCACUGCUUCUUGAAUAGUAGGUUGUUGAUUGGCUAUGGUUGUAGCCAUGAUUGUCCUUACCAUCAGAGGACAAAGCUUUGCCACCAGUUCAUUCUGUAGCUUAAAGUUCUCAGAGCGGCUGUAGUUCAUGGGUACCUCAGGGAUGUCAAGGCCCUGAAAUAGCAUCUUCCGUACCAGUUUGCCCACUACACCCUCCAGUAGACAAUUAGUAGGGCUCGGGGUCUCAUUCCCUCUGCCACUGGUGUUGGAAGGUAACUCUUGCUUCUUGUGAAGGCCAUGAAUGGCCUCACUUUGCGCAAUACAACCCUCAACAGGCAACUCCUCCACUGCAAUCGUGUGCAUAACCACAUUGACGUCGUUGGUGUGGGGUCCAAUCAAAAGCUUCUUAUAGGUUGGGUCUGUGACAUAUUGUAAAACACCCCCGCCUGUCUUUAAGUUCUGAGCUUUAUCUCCAAAUGUCCUAUCCAGGAGACACAAUACUGACUCAGAUAGUGGGUCAGUGAACUCCUGGAGCUCUAGGCUGCUCUCAACUUUGAAGGGGCUGAGGCUACAGCUGAUCUGGGAGCUGUAAUAAGAAGCCUGCAGCUCACUUUUGGACUCCAAUCGGUCAUAAAGCUUUGGAUAUAAGGCAUCUGCAAUAGAGUCUGUGAGCCGCUCAUCCAAAUUAACAGAGAAAAUAUUAUUCAGGCUUUUGUUGGAAGCCUCCUCUUUGGUUUUCCUCAGGAUGUCCCGCACAGCUUCCCUUGGGGCAGAACCAGAAGUGCAAACAUGUCCAUUGGAUGGUGUCUGGGUGCCAGUAAGGGAUUCCUUGAUCAAGAAACUCUGGAGUUCGGUGGCCACUUCCUUAGACAUCUCCCUUUUGAUCUUCAGAACAGCAGGUGUCAGUGUAGCUUUCUCUGAGGUCAAAGGUGUCAGAACUCUGGUCAAAGUUGAGGGGCAUCUGAGAUGAUCACCCAGACCCUCUAAGUCAUCAGAGCAGGACACCGUGGCAACUUUAAAUAAAACCGAACUAAUAAGGUUCUGAGCCACAGCAGAUGAUUUUGCUGAUGCUGCCUGGAGGGUCUCUGAACUAAGCUGAUUGGAGGCAGCCAUCUUUGUUGUUGCCCUGGUAAUGAUGUUACUCACAGGCUUGAUGGAGUAGCUCAUAAACUGGGAUCUCAGGCUUUCAAAGACUCCCUUCACUCUUUCUGCCUUCAGGUCUUUGUCAGUGGCAAAUACACACGACUGAACAGCAUAGAGAGAUACAGGGAGAGGAAAGCCCAAGGGUGAAGCCACAUCUGUGAUAUGGAUGGAGGACUCUGAGGGUGUCUCCUCAAGGCGCCUCUGCAGCANNNNNNNNNNUUUAUCAUCUCCAGGACUCUGGCAUUGUCCUGUGGUGAGGUGGAACACUCUCCUGAGACGUUCUCACUGUCUAGUGUGUUCUGGAUUCCAAGCAGUGUUGUGCUGAGUAUCCUCCUGUCAUGGGGAAGCACUCCCCUCAGUGCAGAAGAGAACCGGCUCUGUGGUGCUGGUGUGUUGCAUGGUGUUGAUGCACCAGAGACGUCACUUCCACUGUCAUCAUCUUUUUUGGUCCUCAUUAUAAUAAGGAUUUCGUCAAUGAUCUCAUCACUGUAGACUUCUAAGUCCUCUGUGGUAACAUGGGCCGUUGGGGUGGCGAUACUCAGAGUACGACCCCCAAGAAGUUUGAAGGACGUCUCCGACCCACUGCCAAGAGGGCCAACAGACACACAUUGCAGUGUUUCGCUUGAUGACGAAGAACAACUGGAGGAGAGAUCAAGCAGCUCCUCCUCCAAAGUCGGAGAGAAGGAAAUAAUUCCCUCCAUUUUCAGGACAGAGAUAACAUCCGCAAGUGUUGAAUCUACAAGGUCCUCACCUAGUGGGCUACUCCUUAAGUGGCUGACAAACACCCUUGUAGGAGAAUGGGAGACUGUGGUGGGAGAUGGAGAGCCCUCCUCACCAUUCACACUUGACCGCCCCUCCACAAUUGCUAAAGACUGGGAGAUGACGGAACAUACAGGUCCGCCAGCCCGUUCAAUAAUGGAGGGGAGGGAAACAUCCAAAGGGGCUGGAGGUGUCACACUCCCUCCUUGGCCAUUUCUAUCUUGGCUGAGGCAGAUCGACGAGACCUCAGUAGCAAAUUGAUUCUCCCGCAGAGGGCUGCUGCCGGAGUCAGGUCCAGGAACAUUUGAAAUGGAGCUUACAGUCAGGGAGCAAGGAAUGUCACUCCUACUGUCUGAAAGCUUGAUGGAGCACGAGGAGGGGAGGCUGCUGGAGGAGAGGUUGGUGUUGGUCUCGUCGCUGGAGAUUAAGGAGGAGAAAGGGGCCAAGGUCAGUUUGACAGGGAUGACAUGCCCACGACCGUCCACAGCAGAUAAGGUUCCAGAGUAGUCAGUGGCAGUAGGUGGUUUAGCAGAAUGUGGUUUAGCAGGUGGUGGUUUAGCAGGUGUUGGUUUAGCAGGCGUUGGUUUAGCAGAUUGUGGUUUAGCAGGUGGUGGUUUAGCAGAUUGUGGUUUAUCAGAUGGUAGUUUAGCAGAUGGUGGAUUGGCAGAACGUGGCCUAGCAGCCAGGAGGUUCUUAGUAGAGAUCUGACUGGAGAAAGAGUGUGCUCGUUCCUCACUGGACAGAGAACUGCUGCUACAAUAAGUCUGGACAGCAGUGACUGGUUCAUCAAUGGAGAUUGGGGAGAACCUACUGUCAGGACUCUGAGUGAGACAGAUGACAUUGACUUUGGAGAGUAGGGAGGUACAGCUGACAGAGCCCUGGGUUGAAUCUUCAUUGGUGUCUUUGCUGAUGGGGAGCAUAUUCUCUGCAGCACUUUCUGAAGCUCUCAGCCUUAUAAGGUCAACCAAGGCAGGGAUCAGGAUGCUAUUUACCUCCUCCAAUACUGAGCUCGUUAUGUGCCCAAUCAGGAGCAGCAAGUCCCUAACAGUAAUCUGUAUAUAUGAACAUCAACAGAAUUUAUUAAGAUUCACAGUAUGUUGGAAAUCAAAACACAUGUUAAUACAUAUCAAAUUAUUUAAAAAAGUAAAUAUAACAAGUAUACUUUUCUUUAUUUUCUAGCAAUCACUCUAUAUCAAAUGUGUGGUCUCCAUUGUUGCAACUUAAUCAUCUUCCUCAUCUAGACGUUUUACAUUUACUAAAGUGGCAAACACAUAUCACAUCAUAUCAUCCAAAUACAGUGGCAAGACAAAGUAUAUGAACCCUAUUGGAAUUAUCGGAAUGUCUGCAUAAACUGGUCAUAAAAUUAGAUUUAAUCUUCAUCUAAAUCACAACAAC